GGGCCGCGUCUUUUUGUCAUUCUGGUGUGUUUGUGCUUUGGGGCCUUGCUCGGGAUGCGAUCUGUGCUUUGAUGGUGGGUAACAGUGGCAUGGAUGUGUGGGUCAUCCGGUUGAGCGUGUUGUGGCCGGAGGUUGGGUCUUUCUGCAUUCUUUGUUGCUUUCCGCCACACGCCUUCCAUUGUCUUGGUGCUAUGCCCGUGUUUGCGGCCAUGAGUAUAAAUGUAUUCCCGUUCGAUGGUUUUGUCUUUCCAUCUUGUGAUGUGGGUGAGGAUUCUGUUGAAGAGCGCUUUAAAGGCAGCC
rnacentral:lncRNA from 1 species